GCAGGGAAAUCUGAACAUUUCUAUGAAAUCUAAGGAAGAGUCAGGAAUGGAAGCAAAGCAAUGGAAGACGAUGUGACCCAUAACACACUGAGACCCUGUGAUAGAUACUGUACAAACCCACACUGCUCUCUCUUGCCUAUAAACCAGUGCCUGCUAAGUGAAUGCCUUCUUACCUGCUUUCCCUGAGUGCCUGUAGAGCUGUGUCCAAACUGCUGGAAGGAGCUGUGCUGCAAAAGGAACAGGGAAGGGUGGAACCAGU